AUGGAGUUAGGACGAGUAAUUAGGUUAAUGAAGAAUCUGAACCAAUUUCAUGGAAAGUUGACUAUAAAUAAUGUUUGGGUCCUAAGUAAGGAAUAUGCAGCAGAAUCUGAACUGAAGAAUAAGAAGUAUCUAGAAGAGUUGUCACUGAGGAUGGGUUCAUCGAUGCCAGGCACCUUAGAGUACCGGAUCAUCCAGAACAAACAAGUCCUUGAAGUUUUGCAACCUCCUAUCAGUGUAAAGUCUCUGUAUCUUGAGGAUUAUGGCAGUGCCUCGCUCCCAAGCUGGUUUCUGCCACACAACUUGCCAAGCUUAAAAUUGCUUACUUAUGUAUGCUGUGUUCGACUUGGGAGCAUAUCAUCUCCCUCGACGUCAGCGUCAGUACCAACUGAAAGGUUUGUGGAUUUUCAUUCCCUUGAAGAACUGAAAAUGGAUUACAGUUCAAACAUCAGCACCCGAAGAUUGGUAUCACCGUCCCUUAAGAAGCUCGAUCUAUCGAAUUCUGGUAUCUUUUGCAGUAUUGACUGCUUCUCCCUCACCAACUUUAAUUUAACAUGUCCGUAUGUCACAUCCAUCCAACUACAAAUGUGGAGCCUUCCGUCUCUACGGAGGUUGAGCAUUAUCUGCUGUUCUCUUGCAUAUAUUGAAGGAAACACUAGAACAUUCCCGUCCCUUAAUGUGCUAAAGGUUUCAUCCUGUCGUGAAUUGUUAACCCUUGAUGGCAUCCUAACGCAAGAAUGUCUACCCGCUAUUGAGGAAAUUGACAUCAGGCAUUGCCCCAAGCUACUGUCUCUGCCCAUUGCAUAUUUUCCAAAUCUGAAACAUCUGGUGGUUGAUGAGUGCCCAAGUCUCAACUGGCAGGGGGGAUUGGUGUUACCAUCCUCGCUCCAAAAGCUCGGCUUAACACAAUGUGGAGAUAUCUCACCAUAUGUCCCCGGCUGCCUAGCUACUGGGCCUCACAUCACUUGUCUCACUGAGCAUUGGUGGCCAAGGUAUAACAUCCAUUCCAGGCGACAUUUGGCAUAG
rnacentral:rRNA from 1 species